CCCUUAGAUGUUCUGGGCUGCACGCGCGCUACACUGAUGCGCUCAACGAGUUUUAACCUUGCCUGGAAAGGUUGGGUAAUCUUUUUAAAACGCAUCGUGAUGGGGAUAGAUUAUUGCAAUUAUUAAUCUUCAACGAGGAAUUCCUAGUAAGCGCGAGUCAUCAGCUCGUGCUGAUUACGUCCCUGCCCUUUGUACACACCGCCCGUCGCUCCUACCGAUCGAGUGAUCCGGUGAAUAAUUCGGACUGCGGCAUUGACCGGUUCCCGAUCGUUGCUGCGGAAAGUUUAGUGAACCUUAUCACUUAGAGGAAGGAGAAGUCGUAACA
rnacentral:rRNA from 1 species